AGUUACAUGUAAAUGUCACAACAAAUGAAUAAAUUAAAAUUUCAAUAAAACUUAUUGGCAAUAAAAAAGUCGAGCUAGCAGCAAAUAAAGCACAUUGUCGCAUUGAAAUUCAAUUAAAUUCGAGAGGAGCGCGAAAUUAAAAGGAUUUCGCCUCAAUAAAGCGAGGUACAGUCGCGGCAAAAGGUAUUCGGUUAAUCAAAUGACAGUAAUGUGACCAUAAUCAAGUUCGGUCGGAGUGAAAUUGUGUUAAUUAUGGACCGGAAAAGUGUGUUGAUUGAAAGCAAAUUCGAUGCCGUUAAUGUGACACAUGUGUGUGGCGAAAAACUUGUUUACAAUAAAAAAAGAAUACCAAUGCAGCGAGUUGCCAUGGAAUGCCCUGAUUGACCAAACUAUUUACAUUAUUCCUUGAAGCGAAGCCACAAAUAAAAUACUACGAAAAGCACUACAAGUGUGGCGAUGCUGAAACCCUCGGAGUUGAAGAAUAAAAAUACAACUAGCAAGGUA